GGUUGACGCCGCUGGGAUUUGAUCCAUGGUCUGCCGUGUAUAGAUUGCAGCGCAGCAGACCACUAAGGCUAGGCUCCUAAGCUUGCUAAUUUGGGCGUCUGGAACCUUAAGAAUAAAGGACAGGCGUACUCGGGCCGAGAUCAAUAGGCACGGUCGUGAUGGGCAUGUACGAGUGCCGCGGCCCACUGGACGGACAAGGGACCAGGCUGGAAGUUGUCAGGCAUCAAGAAGCUGCUUUGGAAAUUAAGCAAAGAAAUAAAGAAAGGAAAUAGACAUUCUUUGCAUGAGAAAUAAAGAAGGAAGAUGGUAAUUA